CACACACACACACUCUCUCUCACACUCACACACAGAGUUGCUUUGUAGCCUAUCGCUCCUCCCUCCUGUUGCCCUUUUUGCACUUGGCUCCCAGGCCACUGUGGCCUCUUGGUUUUCCUCCCUUCCACUUAUGACUGCUCUGUCUGUCUCAACCUUCCUUCUUGCUGAACACCCCCUUCACCAUCCCACCUCUACUAGUAGCCCAGGCACAGUCCACUGGCCUCUGCUCCACGUGAUCCAUCCUAAUUUCUGAACAUGGACACCAUCCAGACCCAAAUUUCCAAGUUCAUUUCUAGUAUGGAUCUCAUUCCUGAGUGCUGAACUCAGACAUCCAGCUGACAGGUUGACAUCUUCACUGGGAUGUCUAAUAGUCACCUCAACCUGAAUACGCCAAAACUGAGCUCUCCCCCUCCUGUGUUCUUCCUUCUCUGCCCACAGUCUUCUUCUAAGCUUGGUUAACUGCAAUUGCCUGUCCUCUCUCCUCCCAGUGUGAUGGGCCCAAGUCUCCCAGAAUACAGGUUCUGGCUCACACCUCCGCAGUGCACAAGUUUAUCUGAGGAACAAAGCCAGAUGCUAAGAUAAGCCCACUACAGGACCCCGAUUUGGAGGUGUAGGCACACAUGGCUACAGGCUGGCAGCUCGCCUCCUCCCAGGUCCUCCAUAUCUGGCCAGUGCCCCAGCUGGAGGUGGUAUCCCUGUGGCCUGUCACACAGCCAUGGCUCUGGCGCCUGGAGACACCAGUCCCCUCUUCUCUGGGCGAAGUUGAAUUUUAGUUUACUGGACAGAAGCAAAACGUCCUUCUGAGGUCAUAGGACACAGAGCUGCUGUCAGAGGACUUCAUCUGCCUAUGGGGCUGGUGGCUGCAGAUGUGGACUACAGAGGCAAGGCUUAUUAUACACAUGGCCAAGCUUCAGGAAACUGGCCCACUGCUGGGCCGAGGGGUCACAGCCCAGAGGUAAGAAGGUCUCAGACUGUAAUUCCUCUAGUUCUGUUGUCCAGCCCUGCAGGAAUGAACUGUGCUUAUCUAUACACAGGAAUAAAACUAGAUAAGAAGUCCCUCAGCCCUUCCUGAUCCAGAAUUCCUGGUCAGUUAAUGGAAAUGAAAAGUGAAGACAAAGUUUCCUCUUUCAUGGGGUGGGUAGGAGUCAGGUGCCACAGGGAUGGUAGACAGGGUGUUUGUGGCAGGUAUGGGGAAGCAGGGAUUUACAUCUCUUUCUGAAGGAAACCAUGUUGAAACUGAGACUUGAAAGAUGUG